GCCAUGUCUUUAAUUUUGACUGCAAAUUUCACAAAUGAUAUCGGAUAUGUUCCUGACGUCGUAACUACAACCCCCUUCCCUUUCAUGAAUGUGACCUACCGAAUUAGACUAUUUACCGGAUUUGUAAUCACAUAAGCAACACGACGGGUGCCACAUGUGGAGCAGGAUCUGCUUACACUUCCGGAGCACCUGAUAUCACCCCUAGUUUUUGGUGGGGAUCGUGUUGUUUAUUCUUAAGUUUUCUAUGUUGUGUCAUGUGUACUAUUGUUUUUCUGUUUUUCUGUUUGUCUUUUUCAUUUUUAGCCAUGGCGUUGUCAGUUUGUUUUAGAUUUAUGAGUUUGACUGUCCCUUUGGUAUCUUUCGUCCCUCUUUUAAACAUAUUUCCUUUAUUCAAAAGUUAUCAAGGAUUACUAUGGAAGUUCUAUUAUCAUGGUAAUAUACAUUCUUAAAUUUACGAAACAAGUGGGGAAUUAUCUACCUCUUGAUUUCAUUUAAAGAUUUAUUUGCAGAUUAACGCCGUUUAUUUGCACUGCCGAUAUAUCUGUAAUAUUUUCCAUUGGACAUAUAACAACAGUGAAUGAAUUCGAUUAUAUUACGCGUUUCUGUUGAAAUUUGAUUAAAAACCCCGCCAAAUAUUUAACACGAGCCUUAUUCAAAUGUAAUGCAUACCCACUCAUAUUUUAUUCAUCAGUACUAUAUUUAAUUUAUAACAACGAACAAUCAAAUAAAAUACCGAAUACGCUUUUUUGAUCAUUUCAGUUUCUUGUACUUUUUUUUCUAUUUUUUUUUCUCUUUUAAAUUAGAAUAUUAAUUAUUGAAGAAACAAUCCGAGUAAUUUUUGUAUUUUUUACUUAUAUAUAUAUAUAAAACUCGACUAAACAUCAACCCAACAAUGUUAGAUCUGUAAAUUUGCUUUCGCAUAUUUUUUGUUCUUUCCUCGCCGUGAUUCGAACUCAUGCUACUGAGAUAUCGUGACACCAAAUCGCCUGCACUGAAACCGGCCCGUUAGACCACACGAUCACCUGGGCUACAUAAAAAUAAGCUUUCGGUGGCCGGGUUUUACCUUUCCACGUCAGUUUUAAUCUAGCGUCGUACUACAGUGAUACAUAAAGCAUGGAGAUGUUAUUUUUACAGAUCAGCUAAAUUAUCUAUAGUAAAGGAUCCUAUAAAUUCAUGGAAGAUACAGUCACAGAAAAUAAUUAUAUUUAUAAGUACGUCUGAGCCAGUGACAACUCUACAACAGAUUUAUCCAUCAGAUCACCAGCAGUGAUGUUGAAACAUGGCUGUGUACAUUAUAUAUAUAUAACUUGUCUAAACAUCAACCCAACAGUGUUAGAUCUGUAAAUUUGCUUUUGCAAAUUUUUUGUUCUUCCCUCGCCAGGAUUCGAACCAAUGCUACUGAGAUAUCGUGACACCAACAUGACCAAAUCGCCGGCAUUGUAGCCUUCCCGCUAGACAACACGACCACCUGGGUUUCAUAAAAAUGAAGCUUUUGGUGUCCGGUGUUAUAUAUACGAUAUUAGCUGUAGAAAAUUAAAACAUUUUAAGGAAUGAUAUUUUAAACGGUAAAAUUUAAAUCAAAUCUUUAUGUGAAAUUUAUUCUUUCUUUUAUUAUUGAAUACAGUAAAUGUGUUCAAUAUUAUUAUAGAAUUCACUGACUCACACACAGUUUAAACAUUUGAUAUUUUGUAGAUGCACAGAGGAAUGAGACUCAAUGGAAAAUAUUCGUUUUUAUCCACUUGGAUACUAUCUAUGACAGAAAUUCAGACAAGAUUUGCAUUGGAAAACAAAUUGUGGAUUAUAUUGUUGAAUUUUAGUGAAUACAAUACUAUAUUUACAAAAUGGAAUUACGUCUCGCAAAUAAAAGCUGUUUGUUAAUACAAGUAGUUAGAUAUUUAAUGUUUAUUGCAUCACUACGAUCCCAAUUUAAAAAAAAUAAUCAAGUAUUAGUCGUUUUAGUUUUAUCUUGAUUCAAUUUCGAGUUACAUCCUGUAGAAUUAUGCCUAUGGGUGAACACUUUCUAAGAAGUGUCUAUGGAAAUAUUAAAAGGACAAAACGUCCGGAUAAAUGAAGAGUAACAAUAAAAAAUAACUCCAUUUCUGAAAAAUAAUGGAGAGUGUGAACAAAAAAAUACGUCACAGGUGUAUUUUAAAAUAGAUAUAUACAAAAAACAAACAGGUCUAGGGUAGUAACAUGUAAGUCUUCGUCGGGUAUGGUACAGACUAGGUCGAGUAUGGUUCAGACUAGGUCGAGCAUGGUUCAGACUAGGUCGAGCAUGGUUUAGACAAUGUCAAAUAUGGUUCAGACGCAUAUAAAAUGAUUAACAUGGUUAAGUACUUGUCGAGUAUAUGAUCAGACUACAGUCGAGUAAUUUCAAGUAAAUUUCAGACUAAUACAGACUGGUCGAAUAAAAAAACAGUACAGUCGACUACAGAUAUAGGGCCAUUUCAGAGUUUUACUGGUUUGUAGUAAAAUGUACAAUCUUUUCGAUUAUUAACAUACCUGAGAAAAAUAUAAUUCA
rnacentral:lncRNA from 1 species